GGUUGGUAAUGGGACUGGUGGAUAGGGGAAGGGUUGGUAAUGGGACUGGUGGAUAGGGUAAGGAUUGGUAAUGGGACUGGUGGAUAGGGGAAGGAUUGGUAAUGGGACUGGUGGAUAGGGGAAGGAUUGGUAAUGGGACUGGUGGAUAAGGGAAGGAUUAGUAAUGGGACUGGUGGAUAGGGGAAGGAUUGGUAAUGGGACUGGUGGAUAGGGGAAGGAUUGGUAAUGGGACUGGUUGAUAGGGGAAGGGUUGGUAAUGGGACUGGUGGAUAGGGGAAGGGUUGGUAAAGGGACUGGUGGAUAGGAGAAGGGUUGGUAAUGGGACUGGUGGAUAGGGGAAGGGUUGGUAAUGGGACUGGUGGAUAGGUGAAGGGUUGGUAAUGGGACUGGUGGAUAGGGGAAGGGUUGGUAAUGGGACUGGUGGAUAGGAGAAGGAUUGGUAAUGGGACUGGUGGAUAGGGGAAGGAUUGGUAAUGGGACUGGUGGAUAGGGGAAGGGUUGGUAAUGGGACUGGUGGAUUGGGGAAGGGUUGGUAAUGGGACUGGUGGAUAGGGGAAGGAUUGGUAAUGGGACUGGUGGAUAGGGAAAGGAUUGGUAAUGGGACUGGUGGAUAGGGGAAGGAUUGGUAAUGGGACUGGUGGAUAGGGGAAGGGUUGGUAAUGGGACAGGUGGAUAGGGGAAGGAUUGGUAAUGGGACUGGUGGAUAGGGUAAGGAUUGGUAAUGGGACUGGUGGAUAGGGGAAGGGUUGGUAAUGGGACUGGUGGAUAGGGGAAGGGUUGGUAAUGGGACUGGUGGAUAGGGGAAGGAUUGGUAAUGGGACUGGUGGAUAGGGGAAGGAUUGGUAAUGGGACUGGUGGAUAGGGGAAGGAUUGGUAAUGGGACUGGUGGAUAGGGGAAGGGUUGGUAAUGGGACUGGUUGAUAGGGGAAGGGUUGGUAAUGGGACUGGUGGAUAGGGGAAGGGUUGGUAAUGGGACUGGUGGAUAGGGGAAGGUUUGGUAAUGGGACUGGUGGAUAGGGGAAGGGUUGGUAAUGGGACUGGUGGAUAGGGGAAGGGUUGGUAAUGGGACUGGUGGAUAGGGGAAGGGUUGGUAAUGGGACUGGUGGAUAGGGGAAGGGUUGGUAAUGGGACUGGUGGAUAGGGGAAGGGUUGGUAAUGGGACUGGUGGAUAGGGGAAGGGUUGGUAAUGGGACUGGUGGGUAGGGGAAGGAUUGGUAAUGGGACUGGUGGAUAGGGGAAGGAUUGGUAAUGGGACUGGUGGAUAGGGGAAGGGUUGGUAAUGGGACUGGUGGAUAGCGGAAGGAUUGGUAAUGGGACUGGUGGAUAGGGGAAGGGUUGUUAAUGGGACUGGUGGAUAGGGGAAGGAUUGGUAAUGGGACAGGUGGAUAGGGGAAGGGUUGGUAAUGGGACUGGUGGAUAGGGGAAGGAUUGGUAAUGGGACAGGUGGAUAGGGGAAGGAUUGGUAAUGGGACUGAUGGAUAGGGGAAGGGUUGGUAAUGGGACUGG